AAGGAACUUAUCAUUUCAAGGUUCUAGGCUGGUGUCCUGAGAAGCAAACAAACCUGGACUCUGCUAACUGCGUCUCAACAAGAAGAUGCAGGAUUUAUUACAUCCUUAUUUGCGGCGUGAGAAGCCAGCCUGUUCUGAAAGUACGCAUAGGGAACAACGGCAACAAGCUGAAAACCUACAAUCCUUCAAAUCAACUACAGUGGUUGAUCAACUGUAUCAGCAAGGCGCAGGCACAAAGACAUGUGAUCUAUCUUUUACUGGGUGGACAAACUGGACAAAUCCGGAGUGGAUUGGACACGAAUGCUGCGACAAAUGAGCGUCACCCUACGAGUUGUCUGAGCCUGGGC